CCUCCUAGCAACCUGAAUCAGUGGGUUUCUACCAGAACGCACCAUCCUCUUGAGUGUUUGCAGGUAGUUUUCAAACAUGAAGGCACUACAAUUUUCCAGACCACCGAAGUUUUCGGCAUCUUUUGCUAUGUGCAGCAUGGCAUGUGUGUUGUAAACAAGGAACUCUUGUCCAUAAAGAAUCCGACCUUUUCCACAAAAUAAUGCAGCAGUUCAUCUGCAUAUUUCGAGUGUUCCUGCACAAGACUUGGACAUACCAAGAUUAUCAUGGCCACGCUAAAGGAAAGGAAGUGCAAAUACAUUUCAUCAAGGCAGUAUUCCCUUCAACACAAUCUUCCCAGUGUAAAGAAGGAACUGACGAAACUCAGUCGCUUUCCACCUGUCCAGUUCCUCAAGACCUCUAGGCUUUCGCACAAAAGUAGAUGGGAUGCAUUUCCGAAGAGACCGCAGUCUUGCACUAAUCUCUGUGAUUUGGCUGGCUGAAACACUCACAACUCUGUCUCCUCUGGUCCAGAUGUGCAGGAGUCUUUUCAUUACACCUAGACAAGCCUGGUGCAUGUAAUCAAUGGGAAAACUCUGCACCAUGUCUAUGGGGAGGUGAGACAGAGGUGUGUUCCCAUGAUGAUGCUGAAUUUGUGUUUGAUUUCUGAAUGUUUCAUCUGUCCUGAGUUUGAGGUCAGCUGUUUCUUGGUAUGUGACUCUGUUUAACCAUGCACCUUUUUGCUCACAUCGGUCGCAGCCAAAGUACCCAGAGAACAGUUUGAUAUUUUUCACUAAUGCAUGAGCUGGAGCAUCACACACAAAGCACCUCAAAUUUACUUUUAUUUUUCUUCCCAUGUAGUGAAUCCCAUGAUUCAUCAGAUGAGCCAGUUCCCUUACUGUGUCUUACCAAAAAGCCAAGAUCUGUUGGUCGACUUAGACUGCUUGUCAGAGCCGUGGGGAAAUGGUGACAGGGUCUAACAUGACUGCACAAAGAACUGGCCACAUACAUGUUUUGGAACUCUUGUACAGUGGUGGCAGUACCAACGAUGUUUCGUCCAGCAUUAAAUUACUGCAGAAGAAGAAUACCGCCAACGUGACGCGGAUAUUAUAUCUUAAUGGAGGAAUAAACCUGAAACAGCACUUCCAAGAACUUCUUGAUUGUCGUUUAUGGAUUCCUCAUGAAAUUUGGGAUUGUCGGUUUGGAUGGACCAGGAGUUGGUGUCACUGGAAAAACUCUCAUGGUGGCCCGCUGAUGACUGAGGAUAGAUGUGCCUUGCUGCUUUUCGAAAAGGGAGUACCUUUUACAAAGGUGUCACCAUGA
rnacentral:lncRNA from 1 species